rnacentral:rRNA from 1 species
AUACGUAGGGAGCGAGCGUUGUCCGGAAUUACUGGGCGUAAAGGGCGCGUAGGCGGCGCUUCAAGUCGUCUGUCAAAUGGAAGGGCUUAACCCUUUUUCGCAGACGAAACUGGAGAGCUUGAGAAGCAGAGAGGCAAACAGAAUUCCUGGUGUAGCGGUGAAAUGCGUAGAUAUCGGGAAGAAUACCAGUGGCGAAGGCGGUUUGCUGGCUGCAUACUGACGCUGAAGCGCGAAAGCCAGGGGAGCAAACGGGAUUAGAUACCCCGGUAGUCCUGGCAGUAAACGAUGUAUGCUGGGUGUGAGACUAGCGAUAGUUUCGUGCCGAAGUUAACGCGAUAAGCAUACCGCCUGGGGAGUACGGUCGCAAGAUUGAAACUCAAAGGAAUUGACGGGG